CACGUAGGGGGCAAGCGUUGUCCGGAUUUAUUGGGCGUAAAGAGCUCGUAGGUGGUUCGAUAAGUCGGGUGUGAAACCUCCAGGCUCAACCUGGAGACGCCACCCGAUACUGUCGUGACUAGAGUCCAGUAGGGGAGCGUGGAAUUCCUGGUGUAGCGGUGAAAUGCGCAGAUAUCAGGAGGAACACCAGCGGCGAAGGCGGCGCUCUGGGCUGGAACUGACGCUGAGGAGCGAAAGCGUGGGGAGCGAACAGG
rnacentral:rRNA from 1 species